UUUCCCAACUACAUCUAUUAAU
rnacentral:miRNA from 1 species